rnacentral:rRNA from 1 species
CUUGACAUCCAGAGAACUUGGCAGAGAUGCCUCGGUGCCUUCGGGAACUCUGAGACAGGUGCUGCAUGGCUGUCGUCAGCUCGUGUUGUGAAAUGUUGGGUUAAGUCCCGCAACGAGCGCAACCCCCUAUCCUUUGUUGCCAGCGAUUCGGUCGGGAACUCAAAGGAGACUGCCGGUGAUAAACCGGAGGAAGGUGGGGAUGACGUCAAGUCAUCAUGGCCCUUACGAGUAGGGCUACACACGUGCUACAAUGGCGUAUACAAAGAGAAGCGACCUCGCGAGAGCAAGCGGACCUCAUAAAGUACGUCGUAGUCCGGAUUGGAGUCUGCAACUCGACUCCAUGAAGUCGGAAUCGCUAGUAAUCGUAGAUCAGAAUGCUACGGUGAAUACGUUCCCGGGCCUUGUACACACCGCCCGUCACACCAUGGGAGUGGGUUGCAAAAGAAGUAGAUAGCUUAACCUUCGGGAGGGCGUUUACCACUUUGUGAUUCAUGACUGGGGUGAAGUCGUAACAAGGUAGGCGUACGUGU